rnacentral:ncRNA from 1 species
UUCCGGGUGACUGGAAAUCUGAAGGAAGCCGAAGGCAAAACGCUGGCCUGACGAACAGGAAGCGGAUACGAGGCGUUGCAUUGGGGUGAGCAGGCAACUAUCUGCAAAGCCCAAAAUUUGCACGGAACAGUGCAGCGUAGAUCCGACAGGCAUAAGCGUGAAGGUGGGUGCG